rnacentral:lncRNA from 1 species
GUUAUUCUUUUGCAACAUGCUAUUUAGUACAAAAUAUUAUAAAAUAACUGUUAUAGCAGCUGUUGCGUAAUGUGAUUUGAACAAACCGCUAUUUUUCGUGAUACAUAAUUAACAACACUAAUGCAAAUGGCUUUAUGGUGCACUCGGUUGCAUACUACAGUCUUAACUAAUUGAAUGAUCUUAGUGUUGCAGAUUGAACUAUACGCAGGCAGAUUCAGAAGCUUUUGAAUUAGCUGGUAAUUAAGGUGACGGUCACUUGGUUGUUAUUAAGUUGAAGUUCUUAUAUAUCUUUUUUUUGCUACAUGAUCUCACUCUCACAACUUUCCAUUUUUAUUUAAGAGAGAUUUAGGUAAAGAAAAAUGCACUUCUGAUAUGCAACCUCAAGUGUGAUAUUGAUUGGCUUAUUGGAUGGGUCUUAGC